AACGAACGCUGGCGGCAGGCUUAACACAUGCAAGUCGAACGCCCCGCAAGGGGAGUGGCAGACGGGUGAGUAACGCGUGGGAAUCUACCGUACCCUACGGAAUAACGCAUGGAAACGUGUGCUACUACCGUAUACGCCCUACGGGGGAAAGAUUUAUCGGGGUAUGAUGAGCCCGCGGUGGGUUUGCUAGUUGGUGGGGUAAAGGCCUACCAAGGCGACGAUCCAUAGCUGGUCUGAGAGGAUGAUCAGCCACAUUGGGACUGAGACACGGCCCAUAAUCCUACGGGAGGCAGCAUUGGGGAAUAUUGGACAAUGGGAGCAAGCCUGAUCCAGCCAUGCCGCGUGAGUGAUGAAGGUCUUAGGAUUGUAAAGCUCUUUCACCGGAGAAGAUAAUGACGGUAUCCGGAGAAGAAGCCCCGGCUAACUUCGUGCCAGCAGCCGCAGUAAUAC
rnacentral:rRNA from 1 species